rnacentral:tRNA from 1 species
CAAAAAAUAGUGUAAUUGAUAACAUAUCUAUUUUGGGUAUAGAUGAUUAUUGGUUUAAAUCCAAUUUUUUUGA